CGAUCAGUGUUGCUUAAAAAUGUCUAUGACAAGUAAGAUCGUUUAUAUUUCGACGAAAUACGUUUGUACGGUGUUUUAAACAUGACAAAAUUGUUGUUUUUAGUGUUGACUGUAAAUGUGGCGUUUCUCAAUGUAACAGUUGAGGUAGUAAAGGGCGAAUACUGUGAAACGUACGAAGACUGCCCGAAUGUAAGGGGAUGCUGUCGGCAGAACGAGUGUGUUAGAUGUUCAAACCCUGGUUGUAAAUCUGAUUCGGAAUGUACGCCAGGGCAACGAUGCUGCGAAGGAUCAAGUCAAUGUAAUUUCUGGUGUGCAGAAACUUGUGCAGCUGACGGAUAUUGUAUUGGAACCGGUAAAUAUAGCUGAUUAAAAUAUAUACUAGAUGAUAGCUUUACAGCCUUUACUUUUAGACUACAGUGGAAGCCCGCCAUACGACCACCUCGUUAAUACGACCACUCCGAUAAAUCAUAAUACGAC